rnacentral:rRNA from 1 species
UCCGGCGAGGGGAAGGACGAGAGUUGUCGCUGGCCUUUCGCGAGGCAUGUGCACGCUUUCUUCUGGACUUUCGCCGUAUGGGCGCGGGGCGACCCGCGUCUUCAUGCACCUCUUCGUGUAGAAAGUCUUCGAAUGUUAUACUAUCAUCGAGUCGCGACUUCUAGGAGACGCGGUUCUUUGAGACAAAAGUUAUUACAACUUUCAGCAACGGAUCUCUUGGCUCUCGCAUCGAUGAAGAACGCAGCGAAUCGCGAUAUGUAAUGUGAAUUGCAGAUCUACAGUGAAUCAUCGAAUCUUUGAACGCACCUUGCGCUCCUCGGUGUUCCGAGGAGCAUGCCUGUUCGAGUGUCAGUAAAUUCUCAACCCCUCUCGAUUCGUUUCGAGCGGGCGUUUGGACAGUGGGGGCUGCCGGAGACCUGGAUUUAUUUCGGGACUCGGGCUCUCCUGAAAUGCAUCGGCUUGCGGUCGACUUUCGACUUUGCACGACAAGGCCUUCGGCGUGAUAAUGAUCGUCGUUGGCUGAAGUGCAUGAAUGAACCGUCCCGCGCCUCUAAUACGUCGACGCUUUCCAGCGUCUUCCUUAUUGACGUUUGACCUCGAAUCAGGUAGGACUACCCGCUGAACUUAAGCAUAUCAAUAAGCGGAGGAAAAGAAACUAACAAGGAUUCCCCUAGUAACUGCGAGUGAACCGGGAAGAGCUCAAAUUUUGAAUCUGGCGGUCUUUUCGGCCGUCCGAGUUGUAAUCUAGAGAAGCGUCUUCCGCGCU